rnacentral:rRNA from 2 species
UAAUUGAAGAGUUUGAUCAUGGCUCAGAUUGAACGCUGGCGGCAGGCCUAACACAUGCAAGUCGGGCGGUAACAG